AGAAAUAUGCAAUAUAUUUGUUGUUGUUGAUCUAAGCGGCUUUGACCCAGAUUGCAAAAAAGUUAAAAAUGUUGAAUUCGUGGAGAAAAUUUCAUUUUAUGGACAGAGAUGACAACCAAGCGAUGAUAAUAAACAUCCCAGAGGUAAUAGAUCCUCAUUAUGGAAUGUAUGUCUGGCCUUGUGCUCCUGUACUUGCCCAGUAUAUCUGGUACAACAGGGAGUGUGUUGCAGGCAAGAAUGUAUUUGAGAUAGGAGCAGGAACUUCUUUACCAGGGAUCAUGGCAGCUAAAUGCAAAGCACAUGUAACCCUAACAGAUUCUGCCGAGUAUCCUCGUUGUCUGGAGAACUGUCGAAAUAGCUGCAGAGCUAAUGAUUUGCCUCAGGUUAAGGUCCAAAGUCUUACUUGGGGUUUGCUAGAUGGCGAUACUCUCUCUCUUGGAGCACUAGAUGUCAUAUUGGGCUCAGAUUGCUUCUUUGACCCUCAAGAAUUCGAAGAAAUAAUUGUAACUGUUAGUUACCUUCUGAAGUUGAACAGGAAAGCUGAGUUCUGGUGUACUUAUCAGGAAAGAAGUUCUGAUUGGUCAAUCGAGGGGCUACUGCUGAAGUGGAACUUAAAUUGUAACCAGGUUCCUUUGCCAGAUUUUGAUGCUGAUUCGGGAAACAUUGCAGAAUCUGAUCUUCCAGGACCUCAUACUAUUCAUAUGUAUGUGAUGACUUAUAACGAUGUUGAUGAUACAUGACGUCACAAAAGGCUGUUCCAUUGAGGUUCCAUUGAGAUAAUACGGAGAGGAGAGUGAGGGAAUACUUUGCUAAAAGGUUGUGGUUCAAAGAAAUAGUUUGAGUAUUGUGGCAUAGACGGUUGAAUUUGUGAUAUACUACACUAUUGGCAAUUUGGUAUACUGAGAGCAUAUUGAAAAUGCUAAUACAGCGUGCACAUGUCAUGUACGUAAAAAGAGCAAACUAUUGAAUGCAUCCACAGAACCUUCAUUACAUUGAGGUUGAGCCACUUCAACUUCAACAUUGACUUAUGGUACAUGUAAUAAUGAAAAUGAACUCACCAUUGCUUUUACAUAAAAGACACAUCACAUGUCAGAUAUGACAUGGUCUCAGAAAUAUUCUCCACUAAACCUGGUAUGAGAAUUAAACACCGAAGCGAAAGAAACAUUUUAAAAUAUUUACAUAUAUUUACAUCAUCAUGUGAGUAAUAUACAGAACUGUAAGACAGUG
rnacentral:misc_RNA from 1 species